GUAGUCGUGGCCGAGUGGUUAAGGCGAUGGACUUGAAAUCCAUUGGGGUCUCCCCGCGCAGGUUUGAAUUCUGCUGACUACG
rfam:Danio rerio chromosome 4, GRCz11 reference primary assembly.